rnacentral:rRNA from 1 species
GAAGUUGAUAGGCCGGGUGUGUAAGCGCAGCGAUGCGUUGAGCUAACCGGUACUAAUGAACCGUGAGGCUUAACCUUACAACGCCGAAG